rnacentral:rRNA from 1 species
UAGGGAAUCUUCGGCAAUGGACGAAAGUCUGACCGAGCAACGCCGCGUGAGUGAAGAAGGUUUUCGGAUCGUAAAACUCUGUUGUUAGAGAAGAACAAGGACGUUAGUAACUGAACGUCCCCUGACGGUAUCUAACCAUAAAGCCACGGCUAACUACGUGCCAGCAGCCGCGGUAAUACGUAGGUGGCAAGCGUUGUCCGGACUUAUUGGGCGUAAAGCGAGCGCAGGCGGUUUCUUAAGUCUGAUGUGAAAGCCCCCGGCUCAACCGGGGAGGGUCAUUGGAAACUGGGAGACUUGAGUGCAGAAGAGGAGAGUGGAAUUCCAUGUGUAGCGGUGAAAUGCGUAGAUAUAUGGAGGAACACCAGUGGCGAAGGCGGCUCUCUGGUCUGUAACUGACGCUGAGGCUCGAAAGCGUGGGGAGCAAACAGG